UUACUCACCGAAUCUCUCCUC
rnacentral:miRNA from 1 species